AAUUUUAUUCAAAUUAAAAACAAAGACGAUUGUAUUUUCUGUAAAUAUUCCCUACAUUUAUGAACAUGGUUACAGAGGUUGUGUCACUUUGGUUGAGUCAGUCUUUAAGUAAUCCUUAAACUCAAAUACCAGCAGUUAGCUGCUGUUACCAACUUUAUCCACAAGAUGGCACAAUGUCCAACACAUUCGCCUCGAGCACCGGAAGUUUCCUGAGUUAAUCGAAGUAAACGUACUACGUUCGUCUGAUUUUUGAUUAAAAACUUCUCCACUGGCAAUUCAAGUUAAAAGUCAUCCAUAAAGGAAAAGCUGAAACCUCCCGGAGCUGAGGGAUUCGAUCUUCUCCGUAUCCACACUCCUUCUCCAGCUGCUGCAGACCCUCCAGGAACUGCCGACAGGCCAGGCUGGGGUAGAUGCUCCUCAACUGACGGCCAGCUCAGAGAUCAGAGUUCGUCUCCUCCUGUAGUCUGAGUCACUGAAGCCCUAGGUUCAAACCAAACGUCACCGUCAGCAGCUGCACAGUGAUGUCACAGAUACACACUCUCUGAACAGAACC